rnacentral:rRNA from 1 species
GUGGGGAAUUUUGGACAAUGGGCGCAAGCCUGAUCCAGCAAUGCCGCGUGCAGGAAGAAGGCCUUCGGGUUGUAAACUGCUUUUGUACGGAACGAAAAGGCUCUGGUUAAUACCUGGGGCUCAUGACGGUACCGUAAGAAUAAGCACCGGCUAACUACGUGCCAGCAGCCGCGGUAAUACGUAGGGUGCGAGCGUUAAUCGGAAUUACUGGGCGUAAAGCGUGCGCAGGCGGUGCUGUAAGACAGGCGUGAAAUCCCCGGGCUCAACCUGGGAAUUGCGCUUGUGACUGCAGCGCUGGAGUGCGGCAGAGGGGGAUGGAAUUCCGCGUGUAGCAGUGAAAUGCGUAGAUAUGCGGAGGAACACCGAUGGCGAAGGCAAUCCCCUGGGCCUGCACUGACGCUCAUGCACGAAAGCGUGGGGAGCAAACAGGAUUAGAUACCCCAGUAGUCC